GACCACUUCCCUGGGGAGCCUGUUCCAGUGCCCAACCAUCCUCUGGGGUGUUUUGUUCUGUCCACAAAAGAAAGGAUAGAUCUGCUUCAUUCAGUUUGAGUAUUGAAAAGUAGCAGUGCCUGCUGUGAACUCUGCCUGCUUCUCUCUGACGUGAUUGAGAGAAUUUUGGAUGAUCAAUCUACUGGAGAAUGACAGUGGAGAGAAGGCAAAUUUUAUCCUAGGAUGUCACUACAUAAAUCAACUGAUCUCAGAUUCUAAGAGGAAAGCAAUAGAGAGGAGUUUGGAAGGAGAAGAAAGGCUUAAAGCUCCAGUGUCUGUGCUGUGAUUGUUUUGUGCCGUCUGUGAUGGAAGAGAUAACACACCUUUUCCCUGACUCUGACAUGGCAGACAUCCACACUCCCACAAACAAUUCCAGCUCCAUCACUGUCAUCAUCUUUCCAGCAAAGGGCUAAGGGUUGUUCUUCCCCCUUCCCCCGCUCCUCAGUCUAUCAGAGAUAGUCAGGGCUCAUCUGCACAAAAAAGUUUUACCUGAUUUAAAGGAGUAGCUCUACAGAUGCCUCUCUCCCCUCGUGGGCGUCUGUCCCGUGCUCACCCUCUCUCAUGCUUGUGUGAGAGAUGCUUUUUGGUUUUCACUUCUACCCAUUCCCACAUGAUAGAAACUAACUUGAAGAAACACAUUUUCAUGUACCUGAAUGUAAACACAGAAUGGAAGAGUUAAUCCUUUGCCUUCUGUUUCAUAUUCAGUCCUUUUGAGUACACAGAAGAAAAACCCAUGCUCAUGGUGACCUACAUAA